UGUUCCCGGGCCUUGUACACACCGCCCGUCACACCACGAAAGUCGGCAAUACCCGAAGCCGGUGGCCUAACCCGUAAGGGAGGGAGCCGUCGAAGGUAGGGUCGAUGAUUGGGGUG
rnacentral:rRNA from 1 species